UGACCUUUGACCGACCAUUGCGUGGGAAAAGUUUGUGUGCGUGCCUCGCCUUUUGUUCGGAAAUAUUCUGGCUCUGCAGUGAAAUAAAUAAUAGGCCGCUUAACAGUUAUAUAAAUAACAUGUUAAAGCAAAUAUCCAUGGCAAUAUAUUUAAAGAAACCACGUUUGGAGGAGGAAGAAUUGCAUGAAACAGUGUGGAGAGAUAACGCGUCUCCGGCCAUCAAUGACGAACACUCGUUUUUACAACUUGAUGUACCUGGAUGAAAUCAUCUCCAUAUUCAACUCCAAGCCACGCCGCCCGCGCCUUGCGAUGUGGCAGCGUCUCCCCACAAGCCACCCACGCUCAGCUGUCAAAUCAUCGCUCUUUCAAUGGCUGUUAAUCAGCGUGGGCGUAAUGACGUACCAACAACUUGAGCCUGCACUGACUUUUGAGGAGUGCAACGGAUACUUGUCACUGAAAGCAGCAGUGGCGAGUGGGCAUGGAAACAGAAACUGGUCGAAAAG